rnacentral:rRNA from 1 species
AUUGAACGCUGGCGGCAGGCUUAACACAUGCAAGUCGAGCGAGCGGCGGACGGGUGAGUAAUGUCUGGGAAACUGCCUGAUGGAGGGGGAUAACUACUGGAAACGGUAGCUAAUACCGCAUACCAUCAGAUGUGCCCAGAUGGGAUUAGCUAGUAGGUGGGGUAAUGGCUCACCUAGGCGACGAUCCCUAGCUGGUCUGAGAGGAUGACCAGCCACACGGCAACUGAGACACGGUCCAGAGUGCUACGGGAGGAAGCAGUGGGGAAUUGUGCACAAUGGGAGCAAGCCUGAUGGAGUCAUGCCGCGUGUGUGAAGAAGGCAUGCGGGUUGUAAAGCACUUUCAGCGAGGAGGCGUUACUCGCAGAAGAAGCACCGGCUAACUCCGUGCCAGCAGCCGCGGUAAUUC